CCUACGGGAGGCAGCAGUAGGGAAUCUUCCACAAUGGGCGAAAGCCUGAUGGAGCAACGCCGCGUGGGUGAUGAAGGUCUUCGGAUCGUAAAACUCUGUUGUUAGAGAAGAAAGUUCGUGAGAGUAACCGUUCACGUUUCGACGGUAUCUAACCAGAAAGCCACGGCUAACUACGUGCCAGCAGCCGCGGUAAUACGUAGGUGGCAAGCGGUAUUCGGAUUUAUUGGGCGUAAAGGGAUCGCAGGCGGUAUUUUAAGUCUGAUGUGAAAGCCUUCGGCUUAACCGGAGUAGUGCAUUGGAAACUGGGAGACUUGAGUGCAGAAGAGGAGAGUGGAACUCCAUGUGUAGCGGUGAAAUGCGUAGAUAUAUGGAAGAACACCAGUGGCGAAGGCGGCUCUCUGGUCUGUAACUGACGCUGAGGUUCGAAAGCGUGGGUAGCAAACAGGAUUAGAUACCCGAGUAGUC
rnacentral:rRNA from 1 species